rnacentral:miRNA from 1 species
UAAGUGAAUUCCUCGUGCUUCAAU